AUUGAACGCUGCGGCAGGCCUCACACAUGCAAGUCGCACGGUAACAGGAAGAAGCUUGCUUCUUUGCUGACGAGUGGCGGACGGGUGAGUAAUGUCUGGGAAACUGCCUGAUGGAGGGGGAUAACUACUGGAAACGGUAGCUAAUACCGCAUAACGUCGCAAGACCAAAGAGGGGGACCUUCGGGCCUCUUGCCAUCGGAUGUGCCCAGAUGGGAUUAGCUAGUAGGUGGGGUAACGGCUCACCUAGGCGACGAUCCCUAGCUGGUCUGAGAGGAUGACCAGCCACACUGGAACUGAGACACGGUCCAGACUCCUACGGGAGGCAGCAGUGGGGAAUAUUGCACAAUGGGCGCAAGCCUGAUGCAGCCAUGCCGCGUGUAUGAAGAAGGCCUUCGGGUUGUAAAGUACUUUCAGCGGGGAGGAAGGGAGUAAAGUUAAUACCCUUGCUCAUUGACGUUACCCGCAGAAGAAGCACCGGCUAACUCCGUG
rnacentral:rRNA from 1 species